UCUCCCUCUCCCUCUGCUGCUCUCUCAAAUCCGGCCGCCACCCCAUCACCUUCUCCCUCUCAGAUCUGGCCACCCCCAUCUCCCUCUCGCGGCCCACCACCAUCUCCAUCUCCCUGUGCCUACCUCUCUCUCCCUCUACCUCUCUUCUGAUUUCCCUCUCCCGAUUGGCUCUCUCUUUUGUUCUGUGGUUUUAUUUUUGUCAAUCUCACUCUAUGUAUCUUCAUGCAGGACACAAAGGAAGAGGACUUGUGACUUUGCAAAGCUGAGGAAAUGGAUGUUGAAGGAUCCAAAGGGGGUGGUCAAGUGUGCUGGACACCUCCAAUGUCUUCAUUCAUGCUUAAUCACUUAUUUAAUUUGGUGGCUGGUGGUGAGAGAACAUCUCAUGGUUUCAUGACCGUGCACCUCAAUGCUUGUGCUAAAGCUUUGAAUGAUCAUUUCAAGACCACUAUGACUGGAGCUCAGGUGUAUAAUCACAAUAGGACAUGGAAGAGGAAGUGGCAGCGAAUAGCAAAACUCAAGAAACUGAGUGCUGCAUUGUGGGAUGAAGACAAGUGUAUGAUUGUUCUUGAUCAUGAGCAUUACAUGGGAAUUAAUAUGCUAUUGUCUACUAGGAUAACAAAGGAGAUGAGCCGUACCUAAACAAAACUCUUGAGCAUUAUAAUGAGAUGGUUACAAUCUAUGGCAAUGGUAUGGUUACUGAAGAUUAUGCAAAUGGCUCAAGUGAACCACUAGCCACUGAUUUCGUGGAUGUUGAAGAUGAUGAACCUGCCAAUGUUAAUGCUACACCACCUCCUAAUGAAGAAGUUACUCAUUCAUACAAUGUUGGUGAGUCAUCUGCCUCUGGGCCCUCAAAAAGGACAAAGACAACACAAUAUGAGGAACAAGGCUUAGGACCAACACUUGUAGCUGUGGGUGAAAGGCUAGCUGUGGCCAUAGAGAAGAAUGUUAGCAACGACAACACCCCAAGGGUCUUUGGGAUAACAUGAAGACACUUCCAACAUUUGGUAGGGAUUUUCUUGCUCACUACUAUGCCUAUUUGGUUGAAAAUCCACGAAUUGCUAGGGCAUUCCACACCCUGGAUCAUGAUGAGAAGAUGGUUUGGGU